GAUGAACGCUGGCGGCGUGCCUAACACAUGCAAGUCGAACGGAGAUUACGGACGGAAGUUUUCGGAUGGAAGCCUGUAAUUCUUAGUGGCGGACGGGUGAGUAACGCGUGGGCAACCUGCCCUAUACAGGGGGAUAGCAGCUGGAAACGGCUGGUAAGACCGCAUAAGUCGGUUAAAUCGCAUGAUUUGAUCGGGAAAUGAGCAAUCAGGUAUAGGAUGGGCCCGCGUCCGAUUAGCCAGUUGGCAGGGUAAAAGCCUACCAAAGCGACGAUCGGUAGCCGGACUGAGAGGUCGGACGGCCACAUUGGGACUGAGACACGGCCCAAACUCCUACGGGAGGCAGCAGUGGGGGAUAUUGCACAAUGGGGGAAACUCUGAUGCAGCGACGCCGCGUGAGUGAAGAAGUAUUUCGGUAUGUAAAGCUCUAUCAGCAGGGAAGAUGAUGACGGUACCUGACUAAGAAGCCCCGGCUAACUACGUG
rnacentral:rRNA from 1 species